rnacentral:piRNA from 1 species
UUAUUCGAAAUUUUAGUCAGU